AAAAUCCGUCGACUUUCUAAGUCUGGAGGGUUCAAGUCCCUCUAUCCCCA
rnacentral:tRNA from 1 species